rnacentral:rRNA from 1 species
GACGAACGCUGGCGGCGUGCCUAAUACAUGCAAGUCGAGCGAGCGGAACUAACAGAUUUACUUCGGUAAUGACGUUAGGAAAGCGAGCGGCGGAUGGGUGAGUAACACGUGGGGAACCUGCCCCAUAGUCUGGGAUACCACUUGGAAACAGGUGCUAAUACCGGAUAAGAAAGCAGAUCGCAUGAUCAGCUUUUAAAAGGCGGCGUAAGCUGUCGCUAUGGGAUGGCCCCGCGGUGCAUUAGCUAGUUGGUAAGGUAAAGGCUUACCAAGGCGAUGAUGCAUAGCCGAGUUGAGAGACUGAUCGGCCACAUUGGGACUGAGACACGGCCCAAACUCCUACGGGAGGCAGCAGUAGGGAAUCUUCCACAAUGGACGCAAGUCUGAUGGAGCAACGCCGCGUGAGUGAAGAAGGUUUUCGGAUCGUAAAGCUCUGUUGUUGGUGAAGAAGGAUAGAGGUAGUAACUGGCCUUUAUUUGACGGUAAUCAACCAGAAAGUCACGGCUAACUACGUGCCAGCAGCCGCGGUAAUACGUAGGUGGCAAGCGUUGUCCGGAUUUAUUGGGCGUAAAGCGAGCGCAGGCGGAAGAAUAAGUCUGAUGUGAAAGCCCUCGGCUUAACCGAGGAACUGCAUCGGAAACUGUUUUUCUUGAGUGCAGAAGAGGAGAGUGGAACUCCAUGUGUAGCGGUGGAAUGCGUAGAUAUAUGGAAGAACACCAGUGGCGAAGGCGGCUCUCUGGUCUGCAACUGACGCUGAGGCUCGAAAGCAUGGGUAGCGAACAGGAUUAGAUACCCUGGUAGUCCAUGCCGUAAACGAUGAGUGCUAAGUGUUGGGAGGUUUCCGCCUCUCAGUGCUGCAGCUAACGCAUUAAGCACUCCGCCUGGGGAGUACGACCGCAAGGUUGAAACUCAAAGGAAUUGACGGGGGCCCGCACAAGCGGUGGAGCAUGUGGCUUAAUUCGAAGCAACGCGAAGAACCUUACCAGGUCUUGACAUCUAGUGCCAUUUGUAGAGAUACAAAGUUCCCUUCGGGGACGCUAAGACAGGUGGUGCAUGGCUGUCGUCAGCUCGUGUCGUGAGAUGUUGGGUUAAGUCCCGCAACGAGCGCAACCCUUGUUAUUAGUUGCCAGCAUUAAGUUGGGCACUCUAAUGAGACUGCCGGUGACAAACCGGAGGAAGGUGGGGAUGACGUCAAGUCAUCAUGCCCCUUAUGACCUGGGCUACACACGUGCUACAAUGGGCAGUACAACGAGAAGCGAGCCUGCGAAGGCAAGCGAAUCUCUGAAAGCUGUUUUCAGUUCGGACUGCAGUCUGCAACUCGACUGCACGAAGCUGGAAUCGCUAGUAAUCGCGGAUCAGCACGCCGCGGUGAAUACGUUCCCGGGCCU